rnacentral:rRNA from 1 species
CAGUCGAGCGGUAACAGGGGGUGCUUGCACCCCGCUGACGAGCGGCGGACGGGUGAGUAAUGCAUAGGAAACUGCCCAGUAGUGGGGGAUAGCCCGGGGAAACCCGGAUUAAUACCGCGUACGCCCUUCGGGGGAAAGCAGGGGAUCUUCGGACCUUGCGCUAUUGGAUGUGCCUAUGUCGGAUUAGCUAGUUGGUGGGGUAAAGGCCUACCAAGGCGACGAUCCGUAGCUGGUCUGAGAGGAUGAUCAGCCACAUCGGGACUGAGACACGGCCCGAACUCCUACGGGAGGCAGCAGUGGGGAAUAUUGGACAAUGGGGGCAACCCUGAUCCAGCCAUGCCGCGUGUGUGAAGAAGGCUUUCGGGUUGUAAAGCACUUUCAGUGAGGAGGAAAAGUUGGUCGUUAAUACCGGCCAGCCUUGACGUUACUCACAGAAGAAGCACCGGCUAACUCCGUGCCAGCAGCCGCGGUAAUACGGAGGGUGCAAGCGUUAAUCGGAAUUACUGGGCGUAAAGCGCGCGUAGGUGGUUUGAUAAGCGAGAUGUGAAAGCCCCGGGCUUAACCUGGGAACGGCAUUUCGAACUGUCAGGCUAGAGUAUGGUAGAGGAGUGUGGAAUUUCCUGUGUAGCGGUGAAAUGCGUAGAUAUAGGAAGGAACACCAGUGGCGAAGGCGGCACUCUGGUAGCCAAUACUGACACUGAGUGCGAAAGCGU